rnacentral:lncRNA from 1 species
AGAAACAAACCCAAAAAUCCAAACACAAAAUAAAUCAAAUCCAUUACAAAUCCAAAAACAAACUAAACCAAGUCCAAACCUAACCCUAGUAGCCCAAAGCCCACUAACUUAAAAAAUUUUCAGCAAAAAAACCCUAGCCUCAAGCUAGCCGCCGCUCCUACCCCCAGGCCUAUGCCACGCCUCCAGCACCGCACGCCUCCAUGCUCCUGCCACCGCCGUCAGUCUGACACCUGCAGAAGAAAGCAUCACACGCC